rnacentral:rRNA from 1 species
UACGUAGGCAGCGAGCGUUUGUUCGGAAUUACUGGGCGUAAAGAGUGUGUAGGCGGUGUUCCCAGUCUGUUGUGAAAUCUCCCGGCUUAACUGGGAGGGUGCAGCGGAAACUAGAAUGCUAGAGGGUGGGAGAGGUAAGCGGAAUUCCUGGUGUAGCGGUGAAAUGCGUAGAUAUCAGGAGGAACACCAAUGCGAAGGCAGCUCGCUGGGACGUAACUGACGCUGAGACGCGAAAGCGUGGGGAGCAAACAGG